GAAGCAAUGUGGUUUCUGCAGAUAACAUAGCAGCAACAGUCAAAGCCUGGGAUAAUCAGCCAUACUCAUUUGCCUCCACUUAGGUCUUUGACAGUGAAGGUUCUAGCGGAAGCUCCGAUAAAAAUCAAGGAAAUACUUGGCAGACUCAUCAAAGAUUUAAAAGGAAGAUGAUCAAUGUGUACAAAACCAAUGGGGAAUCACUUCUAACACUAAUAACAUAUAGUACAGGAACAAAAAGCCCAAGUAGGAAUGAGUUGCAAAACUUUUGUAAAUACAUAUCUGACACUUCAAUUACGGUCCAGCUAAGGUUAUGAAUGAUCUAUAAAAUUUUAAGACUCAAAGUAGCAUGCAAUAUUAAGAUUCAAGCAAUUGGCAAAAGAAUAACAGUGUAGGAAUUGCGUUACUAAAACCAAACUCUAGAAGGGUAUAUUUAUACCAGUCGAGAAGAGGACCUUUUAGAAUAGAAUCCUUAUUAAACUUGGAGAUUCAAAAGGAUAUCUAGCUAGGAAGUAGAUAUUGCAUAGUGUGAUUACUUGCGAGGCACACCAAUCCUUAGAUGGUAAGGACUCCAAGAUUGGGAAACAUGAUUCCUUGCAAGAUUAAGUUUUCGUAUCUUGCGGAACAAGCAUGAUCAAUCUUAGUGAAAUCGUUGGACUUUGCCCGCUGAUUCCAGAAUAGGAUGAUGGUGGCAUCGUUGAUUUAUUUAUUCAACUCCGUACUGGAGGCUGUUAAGUCCAUGACUAGACUUUUGAGGUAUGCGUAUUCUGAGCCACCUUACUCUGCUAUGGAAAAUCAUGGUCCCACAACCUCUCAAUUAGAUUGAGGCGUUCACUCUAUGAUUGAAGCAAUUAUGACGAAUGUGAAAUAACCAUCUGAGUGAGUAUUUGAUAAAGGUUAUGUGAACAACUAAUUAUGUCCAUGCGUGUUCAUUAAGAAGUCACAUUCUGGUUUUGACAAUCAUCAUCUUAGCUAAUAGUUAAUAGGUAUGUAAAUUUUUUAAUUUUGGGAUGAAAGAAUUCAAUUUUUAAGAAUUUUGGGAACAAAAGAAUCGCUUUUAAUUCUUUUGAAAUGUAAAUUUUGAUUUUUGUGUUACAAAUUUAGUUUUUUUAGGAAAACCUCAUUUUGAAAGUAUAUUAAUUCUUUCAUAUUAACUUUUUGUUAUAAUUAUUAGAAGUUUAUACCUAUUGCUAUAAUUUUAUGUGGGAUCUAAAUUUUCAUUAUUUUUUCAAAUUUCCCCUUCUUUAUUACCAUCGGUAUCAGGACUACUUGUACAAAAUUAUUAAAACACGUGACAGCAAAUUUCAUAUGAGAACAAGAGAAAAAAAAAAAUCAAAUAUCUCCGUAAAUAUAAAUAUUAUUCACAUAAUAAUGUCAACAAUGAGUGUUGUCCUGUAUCCUAAAACCCUCGGGCAUAAUGUUACAGUAUGCAAGUUAAAGAGGAAAAAAAAAAACCAAAUAAGCUGAUAAAUUAAAUAGGAUAAAUCUCAGUUUACUACCUUCAAGUUUCGUGUUUUUUAACAUUUAGUCCAUGAAGUUUUUUUCGUCCAGCGUCAUACGUAAAGUGUUAAUUUUGGGACAGUCUCAUACAUCUGUUAGUUUAAUUGUUAAGUCUCCAAUUAACUGAGGAUGCUCAUGUAGAUAAUAACUGAACGACACCUGUCAUUAAGGAUUCACUUGGAAAUUAAAAAUUCAAAAAAAAAAUUCUCUCUAAAAAAUAUUAAAAUAAAUAAAUAAAUAAAUAAAAAACCCGAACCCCAACGUCUUCCCCGCCCGACACAACUCCAUCCCCUCCACACCUCCAUGUCUCCACCCCUCCAUCCCCUCCACCCACCGACACCCUUCCCUUUCCCUGAUACCCACCCCUAACACCAAGCUUUUUCUCCUUCCCCAAAAACUCAGCCCCUUCCCUUCCUCCAAAAAUAAGUCUCACUAAUCAAACAGCCAACCUGUCGAGCUCAUACUAAAAAAACACUAACUAAUCAACACAAAACAAACCCCACAAUUAAUCUAUAUACUAAGCAACAUAGAAGAGCCAAAAGAUUCAACAUUUAGCAGAAAUUACAUAAACCCAGAAAGCAAACAACCAAAAGAACAAACAAAACACAAACUUUAGCAAAUUGAGCAAAAUCCAUGAAUACCCAGAAACCCCAAAAACUCAAAAGUGAAACUAAACGAUUACAUAGAGAGAAAGAGAGAGAUACCAGAUAGGGACAUGACUACGAGCUGCUCGGGCUUAGGAAUACAUUCGUUGUGCACUUUGAUUGUGAUGCUGCUGCAGGUCCCUGAGACCUAUCCGAGAUUGUAGAACUGGCGGCAGAGGUCGGAUAUCAGAACCUUGGUGUCGCUCACUGCUUUGCCUUCCAAGUAGGCCUGCGACGUCAUACCGAGUUUCAGUUCGUUCACUGCCACUGGUGCCAUUGCUGGUCUAGAGAAAGAAACUGUGAACCUGUGAUUGGUGUACUUCAAUACUAGGCUAAAAUAAACUGUGAACCUCCGCUUUUGUAUCCGAAUACACUUUCGGACCGAUUCGAGCGCGAGGUUGACAUUGCGGGAUCUGUUUUAGGCUUCAACGAAGGCGUCGAGGGAGGAUAGAAGAGGGAGGUCGACAGACUGGAGCUUGGUGUUGGAAUCGGACAGAGAAGACUUGAGAGAAUCGACGUCGGAGAGAACAGAUCGGAGUCCGUCGACGGCGAGGAUAAAAUCUUGGUAGUGGACCUUGCAGACCUCCUCGAUUUUGGACUUCUUGGAUCCGGCGAAGUGGUAGAGGUGCUGGAGCGGCGUCUCGGGCUUCCCGGAAGUGAAAGCCUUGCGAACAUUUGUGGUUUUUUUGCUGUUUGUCGCAGAGGAGAAAACGGAAGGAUGGAAUUUUGGGGUUUUGGGGGAAGGGAAGGGGCUGGGUUUUUGGGGAAGGAGAAAAGGCUUGGUGGUAGGGGUGGGUAUCAGGGAAGGGGAAGGGUGUUGGUGGGUGGGAGGAGUGUCGGCUGGGGGAAGACGAAGGGGGUUUUGGGUUUUUUUUUAAUUUUUUUAAUUUUUUUAAUAUUUUAAAUUUGGGAGAGAAAUUUUUUUUUAUUUUUAAAUUUUCACGUGGACCUCUUAAUGACACCGGCGCCUAGUUAUUGUCCACAUGAGCGCCACAUCAUCAGUUAACGGAAGAUUUAAUAGCCAGAUUAAUGAAUGUAUAAGACUGUUCCAAAAUUAACAAUUUCGGUAUGACUCUGAAACAAAAAGUACUUAUGUAUUAAAUGUUGAAAACUACUAAACUAAGGGUAGUAAACUGAAAUUUACCCAAUUAAAUAUUUUAGGCUUUUUAGCCAAAAUGAUCCAUGAAAUUUGCAUGACACAUAACUUUGGUCUCUGAGAUUGAAAAUCAAUAGAAAUGGUCCCUGAGAUUGUCCACCAUCUAUUAUUUUUGUCAUUUCAUUAAAAAACUCCGUUAAGUGGUCUCGAAGCUCGUAUCAGAAACUGAAAUUUUUUGCCAGAUGUUUGGGCAAUUUUCAAAGCUUCGUAACUCAAUCGUUUUUUAACCAAAUUCGACUCAUAAUAUAUCAUAAUGAAGAUAAGAAAGUGUAGAACAAGAUUAUACAUAUUUGGAAGGCCAAUGGUUGCUGCAGAUGGUCGGAAAAUAGCCUGAAAUGUGACUAGUCCGAGGGAAAACUGGGAAAUUCGCCGGAAACUGGGUAAAUUUUAAACAUUCAUAACUUAUUCAAUACUCAAUGAAAUCGAGUGAUUCAACUAAAAAUCAUACUUCUCAACGAGACGAAGAAAAUAAUACAUUUUUCAACGGCUAAAACAUUUCUUUUUUACGCUUUCUUAUCUUAAGAUAUUUCUAGUUAAAGAGAAACAUCCUUCCUAAAUGCAAAUCUAACCUUUCUCUUAUCUACGAUAGCACCAGACACGACCCAUGUCAUUGUGCCUGCUCUGAUCUUGACUUAUUAUAGUAAAAAAUUACUAGUAAAAAAGAAAGUAUGAACUUGUGACUGUUUGCCGUGGUUUGGCAAGAAAACGGCUCGAAAGUGGCUAACUCAACGAGACAAAGAUAACCACUUUCGAACAAUUUUUUGGAAAAACCACUGUGAUUUAGCGUCGAGAAAGCUACCAUUUUCUUCGUCUCAUUGAGAAGUAUGAUUUUCAUCUUUGAAUCACUUGAUUUCAUUGAGUAUUAAAGAAGUUAUGAACGUUUAAAGUUUACCCAGUUUCAGACGAGUUUUCCAGUUUUUUCUCAGAUCAGUCACAUUUCAGGCUAUUUUCAGGCCAUCUCCUACAACUAUUAGGCUUCUAAAUAGGUAUAAUCUUGUUCAGGCCAUAUCUUCAUUUUGAUAUAUUAUGGGUCGAAUUUGGUUAAGAAACGAUUGAGUUAUGAAUCUUUGAAAAUUGCCUAAACUUUCGGUCAAAAAUCUCUGUUUCCGGUAUGAGCUCCGGGACCACUUAACGGAGUUUUUAACGGAAUGACCAAAAUAAUGGAUGGUGGAUAAUCUCAGGGACCAUUUAUAUUGAUUUUCAAUCUCAAUGACCAAAUUUAUGUGUUAUGUAAAUUUCAUACAUGUGACAAUAAACAUACAUGUGACCAACGUAGCGUUGCGUGUGGACAAUAAACAUACAUGUGACCAACGUGUCGAUGCAUCAACUAACACCAUAAAGUAUCUAAAUGGUCCGCAUGUUGGUCAGAUAGGUCCACAAAUAUCCUAUUGAAUCCUCUGAAGAAACUUAGGAGGGCUGUGAAUAAUCUUUGUAAUUGAGGGUUAAGUAUUCAACUUCCCCAAAGAACAAGCCUAGCAAGGUAGAAAUCCAACGUAGGGAGGUAAAUGAUGCCCAUGUGAUAAUUUGAAGAUACGACGCAUCAUGUCACGUCUAGGAUGUCCCAUAUAGUCAUGCCAAAGCAGCAAAGUGUUCUAGAACACAUGCAUAGGGUCGGUCACAGAGUGGGCUUCUAUGUCGCAAAUGGUUGUAAUGUACAACCCACUCGUGAGACGUUCCAACUUUUCAUGAAUACGUUUUUUGCCAUACUCAUAAGAAAUGAUACAAAGAAAUUCAAAACCAUUAUCUUCAGUAGUUUCAACAUGAUAUUGAUUAUCUCGAAUAUCUCUAAAGCUCAGCAACAUUCUUCCGGAACGUGGAGAAUAGAGAGCCUCUUUAAUAGUUAAGACAAUACCAAUGGACAACAUUAUACAAGCCUUUCCGUAUCCUUCCAUCAGGUUGGAUAAGCUUGAGAGGGUUGUCAAAUGUGCAUUUUUAGGUACGAAAUUAGUAAAAUAGUGUCGUUCACGCAAUAUAGUGUGUGUGGUAGCACUAUUAUCCAGACAACUAACUUCCCCACUAGUCAUACCUAGGAAUAAAUUAAUUGAAUUGGUCACAUGCAUAAAUAUAAUUCCAUUCAUUCAAUUAAUCAAUCGAGAAAUGAUAUCCAUAAUUCAAAACAAACCAAACCAAACAAAUGAUUCCAAAGACCUAGAAAAAUUGUCCAAUAAAAAAAUUGGGGGGUUCGGCCACUCCUAGUGGUUCAGCCACUAGGGGUAAAAACACCUUAAAGACAUGUCUAGAAAAAUAAAACUUUAUUCUUCCAUAGGAGCGGAUGCCUCAUGAAAAUCUGAUAUCUCUAUGGAUGUAGUAGUAUCUUCGGGAUGUUCCACAUGGGCAAAGUUAGACUCACAACAGGAAUGAUACUUGGCAAUGUCUUUGGGCGUAGCUCGACAUAUGGGUGACCAAUGAUCAUUUGAUCCACAGUAGUAGCACAUGUCUAGUUCAGUGGAAGCCGAUUGAACGGUAGAUUUUCCCUUGUUCUUGAAGUUUGGGGCCUUAAGGGUAAGGGUUUGGCAUUUAUGGGUCAAAUUGCUUCUUUUGGGUGGGCCAUGGCAUAGUGGACCUUGGACCCGUGGGUGGGCUUUCCGCCUAUUACCACGGCCACGAUGGUGUUUUCGUCGUUUAUGGCUGCUAGAAUUAGUCGCAUGCACUUCAAGCGAAAUGUUCGAGCUAGUAGGUCAGGCUUGAUGAUUCUUCAUGAAAAGUUGGUUAUGCUUUUCAGCGAUAAGUAAAACAAAGAUCAAAUCUGAAAUUUUGGUGAACUUCUAUGCCCUAUAUUAUUACUGCAAGAGAAUAUUGGUAGCAUUGAAGGUCGAAUAGGUAUUCUCUAGGAGAACCUCAUCUGUUAAGUCCACUUUACAGAGCUUAAGUAGUGAUCGGAUUCUACAAACUUCAGAGUUGUAUUCAUUCACGGACUUAAAGUCUUGGAAACGUAAAUGAUGACAGUUGUGUCUUGCUUCAGGUAAGUAAAUAUAUUUCUGGUGAUCGAAAUGAUAGGCCAGAGCAAGCCAGAUGGUGCGUGGAUCCUCUUCAGCAAGGUACUCGGUCUGUCGUGCAUUAUGGAUGUGUCUUCAAAUGAAGAUCAUAGCAGUAGCUUUGUCAGCUUCAUUAACGAGUUCCUUAAUGGUGGCUCUAAUACCAUUUGCGGUGAGAUGGAGCUUUAAGUUCAACAUCAGUGAAAUCAAGCUUGUUUAAGUUCGAUAUGUCCCUAAAACAGAGGGUACAAAAAUGUGGUUAGUCAUAUGGAAAAUCAUAGACAUACAUCAUAGAACAUUCGGGUUCUAUAGACAUGUAUAUGUUUAAUUUAAGCAUGAAAGCUACAGGUUUUAUGUGGUCAGUUUUGAAUGAAAACUUCGGAUUUCAAAGGCACUAUAUAUGAAACAACAGGUUUGAUUUAGUUUUAUGAAUGAUUAGUUCAUAAAGGAGAGGUUUCUGCAAGAACACAUAAUGCAUUAUGCUGAUUGAAGUGUAGUAGAUUUGGGUUGCUUCGGGAACUCAUGUGUGAGAGUUUUGAGACAACGAAAUGAUGCUAAUGGUUCAAAGUAUAAUAAAAAUUAUUGAAUCGUUAAUAUCCAAAAGUGAUCUUCAGGUUAAUAAUUGGAUUAAUUAUCAGAUUAAUGGACUGUUGGUCACUUUUAAUUAAUUCAAUAGGUCAGGACCAAAAGGGGUCGAUUGUGGAAGUAAAAUAAUGACAGACGGGUCAUAUUAGCUUCAGUUGGCGAUAAAUCAAGUGAUAAUUAAAUUAGAAUUAAUUAACGUAAAUCAAAGUACCCCAAACAAAUAUUGGGUAUGAUUUAUAAUGCAGGGAUGCCAAAACUUGGCAUUUGGUUGAAAAAAAAAUAAUGCGGCCUAACUAAAAGUGGAUUGGCUGCGAUGUGGGGACGGACCUUGCAUCAUGACUGCAGGUCAUUAGGCCGUGGAAAAGCUGCAUGCUUCUGGCCGUGUGGUCUGGGUGAGCCCAGCAGCAAAAGUUACUGGUUUGGGCCAAAAACAAGGCACGGGGCAAGCCCAUCCUAAAGUUGGCUUGAGGGUUAGUGCGAGGAAGGCCCAGCCGAGGCUGGUUCCUGAGUUUUUGGGUCAGGGUAAGUCAAGCCUAGUAGUAUAAGCUACGGGCAAGUGGGUCGAGACUUGGGCAAAGCUUAGCAAACGAUACGGGCCUGCUGCAGGCGAGCCUGGGGCACAGGGUCGACCUAGCAAGCUACGGGCUUGCUGCAGGUUUGGGCCAUGGACUUAGGACAAAGCCCAUCAACUCAAAAGUUGUUGGUUUUGGGCUUGGAUGGGUUGCAGGCCCAUGGUAACCCAUACCAGGCCGAAUCCUGGUGUCUGUGUAGGCGCAGCAAAGCCCAAAGGGCUGCUGCCAUAGUCCAGAUGUCAUUCUAAUAGUGUGCUCCAUGCGGCUGGGCUGCAGGCCAGCUACGGUGAUGUCGGCAGCAAUGUGACAGCGAGCCGCAGCCAUGCCGCAUAUUUGCCAAUUUUUUUUUUUUCAACAUCACUAGGGUUUGAAAAACCCUAAAUUGCUUCUAAUUUAUUUAUAUGCUUUGACUCACAAAUUCCACAUGGCAAAAUAAUAAUUGUGUAAUACAUGAAGCAUGUGUGUGUGUAUAUAUAUAUAUAUCAGAAGGAAAAUAUAAAUAUAGGGGAUUCAUACUUCAUGGACGUUUCAAAUAUCUUACUUUAUUUUAAGCGUACCUGAUUGAUAUAAAACAAAUAAAAGUCUUUGAAUUUUGUACAAGAAGGCCUCCUCUUACAAUUCUUCAAUUUUUUAACUUUUGGCAAGAGUUUGCUGACAACGUGUUGUAGGCCUAAUUGACUAAACUAUUUUAAAGGAAUAGACAUGGGAGGCCGGCGGCAAAAGGGGAAGAAGAGAGAUUUAAUUGUGAGGUGUGUUGUAUUUUACCCCAUUGUGCCUUUAUUUAUAGUAGUAUGAUAGGUUAAAUCCUUAACAUAAUAGAAUUAUAACUCUAAUAGGAUGAUAUCUACUAAAGAGAAUAUUUCAAGAUAUCCCUAGAUACAGUAAGAUUUACACAAUCACAUUCAUAUUCUAAGUAUUAUUGCAACAAUAUUCUGUUUAUUAGUAUUUCUUUAGUGGGUAAGUUAUAACUAUGGUUUCCGCCACUAACACAACAAAAGAAAUUAAGAAUUUCGGGAUAUUUUCUCUCUCUAACAACUUAAUAUUCUAGAUUUGUCUUCAUAGCAUUUUGUUUCCCUUGACGCUAUUACAAAUUUGUCCCCUAGCAUUUUCCUUGUGUCAAUUUUUUUAAAGGAAGAGAUGGGACCUUUAUAGUCGUUACCAAAAGAAAAAAGCUCUUGUGUCAGUGAUAAUAAAAAAUAAAAGUAAUGAUAUGGAGAUUAAAUUAGUAGAUAAAAUUUACAAACUAAAUGAUAUGUCACAAUAGGCAUGAACACAUUUAUGAACGUUUAAGUCGUACUCGUAAUACAAUCAUUAACUUUCAUGUUAUUAAUUUAUAAAAUUUUGUCUACAAAUUUAUUCUCCUUAACAUUACCAAAAAAAAUUGUUGCAUCAUUUGGGUUGGAUGCUACUUGGCCGCUAACACCAUACUGCUAAGACCAUACCGCUAAGACCAUCUCUAAAUGAGAUGUCAAAUCCUAAGUAAAAUGCUAUGUAAUCAAAUUUGAAAGCAUGAAUAAAAUUCAACUGAUAUGUUAAUCUCAUGUGGAUUGUCAUAUGAAUUUUCAUAUGUCAAAUUUGAUAUAGGAGAAAAUGUGAUGACAAAUAAAUUUUUAAUUAUUUUAUUGUGUAUGUCCUAUUAAUGCACCAAUUAUAAUUCUAAAGAGUUUAUUUUAAUCGAAAAAUGGAUCCUACAAAUAUCAUGUAUAACAAAAAAAACAUAUAGGUCAGAGGAAGAGAAAAUUUGCAUGUAGCUUUUCCACCGGGCAAGAUGCCUAAUAUUUACAACGCUCUGGUAGAUGCUAUUUUAUUGGUAAACAAAUUAGUGUGACUUGUGAAGUACAGAGGAAAGAUCGAUCAUCCGAAUCUGACAGUCCAAGUUUUUGAUUGGAAGAAAAAAUCGACCAAACAUUUCUUAUGUACCAUGACAUUCCAAGUUUUUGAUUGGAAGAAGAAAUCGACCAACCAUGACAUUCCAAGUUUUUGAUUGAAGAAAUCGGCCAAACAUUUCUUAUGUACCAUAAACGCUUUUACUCUUUAUCUUUUGUUAUGAAAGAGAGUACAAGAUUCGAUGCUUUCUUGUAAAAGUUUUGAGGGCAAUUUCUCAUAUCCACCUCAGGAACAACUUUCCAAUGGUUCACAUACUACCGGUAUAAAAACGAACGCGAAGUCCAAACCCUACAUACACCACUCAACCGCUCCUAACGGCCACCUCAACUCACAUUUCUCAUUCUCUCCUGCUGCUCCCAGCUGCCUCUUUUGACGAGCAAUAUGGCGAAUGAUGAAAAUCAAAACCCUCCUCCAAAUUCAGCUCCAAAUCCGCAACCACAUCUAACAGAGACUUUGACCAUCCUCUUGGCCUUAGCUGCCAUUCUGUUUGCCCUCGGGUUGAAUCCGAGCUACUUUGUCAAACCUCCCUCCGCCGAUGCAGCUAGUUGUGAAUGCAAACUGAAUAACUGCCUAUGCCUUCCCCCUUUCUACAUUUUCUCUGUCGUGGCCACGACAGCGCUGUCUGUUGUUUGGUUUGGACUUUUUGUCCUCUCCACCCGACUUCAAUACCGCUUCGGUAUCUAGGUAGGGCUUGGCUUAGUGUGGGCUACCUAUUGGCUCGCGCUGCGUGGCAUCCUUGCACCCCAAUUUUAUAAUCCACUGGUUUAUUUCUUCAAUCCUUUUCUGACGGUCAUAUUGUUGUUUAAGCUAAGAUUUCGAAAUAUCUGGGACCGCAGGAUCCAUGUCAUAGCUGACAACUGCGGCAGGUUUUGGAACUAUAUCACAGGAAACUACUAACAUUUGGGUAUUUGUCUGUUCAUACUUUUUUUUUAUAAUCUUUAUUUUUAUUUUUUUCAAAUGAUAGAUACGUUAGAUUAGAUGUUAGAUUUAUGAGAUUAACGGGAUUCAAACUCAUACAGCCCUCACCGACUAUGUUGCUAAAAAAAAAAUUUCACGAGAAGACUUCAAAUGAGCUCUUUUGCCGCCGGGAUGCCCACAAAAAAAAUCAAUGAGAAAAUUGUCUUUAAUGGCCUUUCAUCCAAGUUGAUUACACUAUUAUCCACAGAUUUCAUACCAUAUUGAAAGAAAGAAGCAUCAUCAUUGUCUAUUUCACAUAAUCUAUGUGAUGUAAUUCUUAACUUUUUUUUUUCAAAAAUUAUUUUAAGCAGAAAAGAAACCAUAUAUAAAACCAGUUAGUAUCAUACCUAUUUAAUAUCUCAUCUUCACUAAACGUUUGAGUAUCUUAUUAAUAAUUAUUUUCUCUUCCAAUGUUAUUUUUAGAUCAGUAGAAAGAUGGAGAGAGAGAGAGAGAAGAGAGAGAGAGAGAGAGAGCUAGUUAUCAGCAAAAUGCCUGGUCCAUUCCUCUUCUUUUGAAUGUAUUAGAAUUAAAAUAGUCUUCUUUUCCUACUAGCUACUUUUUUAUAUUCUCCAUGCAAGACUUGUUAUAUUUAUUCGGUGGUGUGUAAUUUUAAUAUUAUAGAUCUCUCGAUGUAGGACUUGUUAUAUUUAUUUGGUGGUGUGUAAUUUUAAUAUUUUUGAACUCUAUAUAUGAGCUGCUAUGUUUAUUUGGUCAAGAAUGUAAUUUUAUUUUUAAUACUUGUGUAAGUGUAAUAUUUAUCUCUCGUUAAAUAUACAUAAUAUUGUUGUGUAAAAAUAAUCAUCAUAUAUCAUAAUCCGAUCAUGCUUAAACGUUCUUAUUUCUUAUUAAAGAAUAAUGACACAUUUUUAUCCAAUGAUUUGAACCCCCCUCUAAUAAAAUAAGGCCCACAACAUGGACUGUUCUACUAAACUGCCGCAAUUCAAACCCAGAAAAGAAAAGUUAGGCUCCCAUCCCACCACCACCAUCUCCAAAUUCCGGCGAACAGAUAACUCAGCAAAAUUCUCUGCACUAAAAAUGGACUGUUCUACUAAAUCCUCUCCCAAAUACCCAUGAAACCGAUGGUUAACGCGAGCGCGAGUUCGAAGCCUUGACCUCCUUUUUAUUCUUCGCGUUCUCCAUGGUUUCUUCUCUGAACGCUCGAAGGUCUGCAACUGCAAGCGAUUUUUACAAGGAUUUGCACAGUAAUCCCUUCAUCAUUUUCAGGUGGGUCGCCGCCGCCGAUGCCUGAUUCAAGAAGUUCAGGUUCGAAAACGGUGCUCUCCUGAAUUAAUUUCAUCGAUUUUGUUCCCAAUCUUGUAAAUUUGUUUAAUUUGUGAUUGAAUGAUUGGGUUCGGAAUCAUUACCCUCUGCAAAUUUGUAAAUUUAUUCUAUCUAUUUCAUUCGCACUGCUGUAAACCACGGGGAGGCCACUCGGAGGUGGUUCAACAGCCAGGUAACCGCAAAGUGAAGGCUCAGCCCCAGGAUGAGGUGCUUUGAAUUAUGCAAUUCAAUGGAGAAAGCUCCCGUUUGGAUUUUCAAUUAAUUAUUUAAUCAAUCAUUUUUUCUUUGUUUUGUGUUUUUUGUUUGGAUUGUUGGUUUGUGAAUUUUUGAAGGGAAAUUGGCUGAUGUUGUUCUUAGAUUUGUCUUUGUGGAGCCCUAUGUGGUAAAUAUAUUUGUUUUUUGGUUCGCAUCCGCCAUCUUGUCGUUGGUGUUCCUGAUCCAAGGAGAGAGAGUGAUGCUCGAGGAGCGCUCACGUUUUGUACGAUUGGUUUUUUAAUUUUUAAUUUUUAAUUUUUUUAACAAAGUGAAGGAGAUAACAACAGUUCAACACUGUUAAAAUGGUGGACAGAUGUCACAAAACUAUUAAAGCCACAGUGAGGCCACACCUAUUUGGGUGCAGAAAAUUUGAACUCAGAUAAUACAAAUACGUGUAAGAGUAGUAUUUUUGCUUGUUAAACGGUUGCUUGUUUAUCCUACUUUUCCUUACGAUUUCUUGUGUAUCCUACUUUUCCUUGCAAGCAAGAGUGCUGUCUCAUGUCUAGCAUUCGCAAUGUCGCAUUUUGCUCCUAAAGAAAUCAAAGGAGUGCAUCCAUCGGCAUCAGAAGCACAUCAGAGACCCUGCUUAUCAAUGUAUGAACAAAAUCUGCGGGGCCGUGUUGUGCUGCCUGAUGUAGAGUCCCAUAAAACUCAACAGGACUAUCAAGUACCUUUUGAGGUGCAGCAUUCUUAAGCAACAACUUUCAAAUUCUCACAGUUUUGAUUUGUAUCGAGUAUUUCCAUUACCGUCUGACCAAGUUUAUUCUACACGUUUAUGUCAAUGAAGGCUCAUUGGGGGCAGAUGCCCCCACUCACUCAAGUAAUUCGUUUGUCUAGUUGUAGACUACAAUUAUAUAAUAUACACAGGGUUAUCUUUGAAGAAAAUAUAUCUAUCUAAUAUCCAACAUAUAUUCAUUCUACUUGUACUCCAUAUAUGAGCAAUAGUGCUCUUGUUCUGUCAUUCAAACAAAAAAACCCUCUCCCGCUUAUCAUGUACGUAUAUUUUUCUCAUCACUUUGCCACUUUCCACUACUAUAUUGAAAUUUUUGUAACAUUGGAAUUAUGAUACAUCAUUAUUUGAAACCAUCCUUAAUAUCAUAUUGCAUAUAACCAUACUAUAAUAAGGUUUUCUUAAUUGUUUUCGGUUGCCCCCACUAGAAGAAAUUUCUGGCUCCGUCCCUGAAUGACCUCAGUGUUAACCUAAGUGAUAAAGAAGAAGGCAUAAGCACAUUUUAUCAAUUUCCUAGAAAUUUUCUUCCAGAACGACCUGUUGUAAUGUGAGAUCAUAUUUAUCCCAAUGAUCAUAUUUAAGCCAUUCAUAACAUCUGGAUUGCCUGACUUUCCAAGGGCAAAAAUGCUACCCUCUUUGAUACCAAUAUCUGCCGUAUAUAUCCCACUAUAAUCAAAGAUCACAGCAUUAGUUAUAACCGUAUCCAAUCAGCUGGGAGUUCCCAGAUGACUGGCCCAUUCCUUCUCUAAUAACUUUACCACCUCCAAAUACCGAUUCAUCCCAUAAGCAGUAAAAUCCUUUUCAAUUUCAGCAAACAAGUUGGUAUCACCAAGCCCAAUUUUAUCCCACCUUCACUGCAAAAUUAGUACUGAGGUAAGGCAUCUCCAAUUUUUCCUUAAUCAUCUUAGUGAACUAGCUAAAAAUCAUGCAACUUUAUUGACCUAACAAAACUGAAGCUAAGAGACAAAUAAACAUUUCUCAGGAGGAAAGCCUCGACCUAACUUUUGGUUCUUCCUCACGUCCAAAUUCUCUCGCUUGUAUAGUUUCCAUGACUUCCUUUAGUUUGCCAUCAUCUACUGAACCAUCCACAAUGUCACUUCCUCCUCUGAUUACUCUUUUACCUCUUACAAGUGGGACAUGUUUGCUUUUCCCCCGGCUGGCACAAGAAAACAAGCACCCAAAUUAUUGAUUUAAAAGAUGAAGGCCAAAUUAUUGACAUCCUUGCUAGACUUUGAUCAGAAUAAUAUAUGAUAGGCUAACAUAAGUACUAAAGUGUCAGAAAAUUUUAAGUUUAGGUAGGAAACUAUGAUUAAAUAAAUAAGACUAGUAGGGUAUGAAUGUCACAAUGCGUGAAAGUAAAAGUAUCCCCUCAUAGACACAAAAUGUAUCACCCUCAUAGACAAAAAGUGUAUCAGAACCAAAAAAAAAAGUGCAUCACCCAAAACCAAAAAAAAGUGCAUCACCCAUGACAAAAUAUAUCCCUCAUAGACUAAAAGUAUCCCCCACAUAAUAAGUAUCCCGAGUAUCCCCCUUAUAGACAAAAUGAACCCCUUAUAGACUAAAAGUAUCCCCCCCCCCCCAAUUCUUAUUUAAUCCCUUCCUCUCCCACCCCACCCCCCAACACACCGCCAACUCAGCUCCCGUUUCUUACUUCUCCCCUUCUUCUCCCAGCUGACCACCAUUAUGGCGGACGAUGAAAAUCAAAACCCUCCUCCAAAUUCACCUCCGAAUCCGCAAACACACCUAACCCUGACCAUCCUCUUGGCCUUAGCUACCAUUAUGUUUCCCCUCGGGGUGGAUCCGACCUACUUUGUCAUACCUCCCUCCGUCGAUCCGGCUAGUUGCGAGUGCAAACUGAAUAACUGCCCAUGCCUUCCCCCUUUCUACAUUUUCUCUGUCAUGACCACGGCAGCGCUGUCUGUUGUUUGGUUUGGACUUUUGUUCUCUCCGCCCAACUUCUACACCGCUUCGUUAUCUGGGUAGGGCUUGGCUUAGUGUGGGCUACCUACUGGCUCGCAUUGCGUGGCAUCCUCGCACCCCAAUUUUAUAAUCCAAUGCUUUAUUCCUUCAAUCCUCUUCUGGUGGUCCUAUUGUUGCUUAACCUAAGAUUUCGAAAUGUCCGAGAUCACGCUAUCCAUGUCCUAUCUUACAACUGGGUUCGUGUGAUCUACGUCAUAUCUCACAAUUGGGACCACGCGACCCAUGUCAUAGCUGACAUCUGUGUUCUAUUUUGGAACUAUAUCACAGAAAACUAUUAAAAUUUGGGUAUUUAAAGUCUCUUCAUACUUUUUUGCUUUUUUCUUAUAAUUUUUUUUUUCUCAGAAUUACCAUUUCUUGAUUUAUGUGUGUUGGGACAUAUUAAGCUUUUGAGGUUUUAACUCAAUAGUUAGUUUAAAACCCAAGCGAUUGGUGUUUUCUUCUAAUAGUUACUUUAUAGAAAAAUCGUUUUAAUUAAUUCAUGUUUAUAUUUUAGGGUAUAUUUCUGGCCUCAAAAUUAUUAAUACAGAUAUUUUACGUGUAUACACAUUAAAAAAAAAAAAACUCUCAAACAACACCUAUACACCACACGUGUUCUAUAUUUUACUAAAUUAUGAUUUGCGUAUAUAUAAUAUACGAGUUGUUGAUGUUACUCAACAAAAUACACUGAAAAAUUACAAUUGCGACAACUGGCAACAAAAAAUUAGGCAAACUACAACUAAACCAAUGUUUGUUAAGUUGCUUAUUUCUUUUGUUUUUUGUCUGAGUAUCUUAUUAAUAAUUAUUUUCACUUCCAUUGUUAUUUUCAGAUCAGUAGAACGAUGGAGAGAGAGAGAGAGCUAGUUAUCAGCAAAAUGCAUGGUCCAUUCUUCUUCUACAAUAGUCGUCUUUUCCUACUAGUUACGUUUUUAUAUUCGUAUCUCUCCAUGCAAGACUUGUCAUAUUUAUUCAGGGCAUGUAAUUUUAAUAAUUUGGAUCUCUCCAUGUAAGACUUGUUAUAUUUAUUCAAUGGCAUGUAAUUUUAAUAUUUUUGAACUCUAUGUAUGAAUUGCUAUGCUUAUUUGGUCAAGUGUGAAAUUUGAUUUUAAUAUUUGUGUAAGUGUAAUGUUUAUUGAAUAUUUGUGUUCAUUAAAUUAUCCUCUCUCGUUAAAUAUAUAUCGUCAUAUAAAAAAUCAUCAUAUAUCAUAAUCCGCUAAUACUUAAACGGGCCUUAUGUCUUGUUAAAGAAUAAUGUAUUACAUAUUUGUACUAUAAUUUGUACCGAUUUUUAAUAAAAAUAAAGUCCACCAACGCAAGUAAAUCUAUCUCUCUUAGGGCGUGUUUACAUAAGGGUAAUGGGAAUAAAAAAGGGGAAUUGAAUUCCGAUUACAGAUUACUCCGACGUUUACUAAAUACUAGGGAAUCAAUAGUGUGGUGGACCCCACUCGAAACAAGAAAUGCAAUUCAUGAAAUUGGAGGAGUGGGAUUCCUUGGAUAGAUGAGGUAUUUGAAUUCCAUGAGGGUGAAAGAAUUAGGAAUGCAUUUUUUUCUUUCUAUUAUGCCCUCAUUCACAUUAUGCACAACUUCAUGCUCAUUCAUAUUAUGCACAACUCCAUACACAUGCCGAAGAGAAUAAACUACAAUUUAAGCAAGAAAAUUUAAAUAUUAAAGUAAAUACUUAUAUUUAUAAAAAAAUAAACAAAAACAUUUUAGUGUGUCUAUGAAAUAGAAAAGCAAUUUAAUUUUUUUUUCCUCUUACUAUUAUAUAUUAUAUCAAAUUUUAUGAAAAAAAAGUAUAUAAAAUAUUUGAUUUGGGACAAGGACAUUUUAGUAAUCAUAUUGGUUUAUAUUCCGAUUCUGUUGAAUUAGUAAACAACUUUAUGGAAUUAGUGUCAUUUCUAUUCCGAUUCCAGAAUAUUUAAGCAAACAGUUUCAAUAGGAAUCUGAUUCUGACUUUUCCUCAUUCCAACUCCUUCUCAAUUCAAUUUCUCAUAUUUUCAUUACAGUUACGUAAACGUGUCAUUUAAGUAAUUCUAAUCUUAUGCGCCUAAAAAAGAAUGUGCCCUCUCCAAUCUUGUGACACUUGUCUACUCACUUAACCCAACUUAACGAGAGAUUUUUCAAUGUGACCGUCACACGAGAUGGUACACCACUUGUUCUUAUAUAAAUAAUGGGACAUAUAUAUUAAAAGUUUAAUAACUUAAAAAUUAAAAAAUUUCACCACUUACAUAAAAACCGUGUUGAACCACCCGAGUUUCCAUCACACCUGAGAAUUUCUCCAACUUAACACUGUCAAGUCUCUCUGUUAUCACCUCGACGCUGCCAUCUCCAUCUCCAAACUGCCGCAAUUCAAACCCAGAAAAGAAAAGCCACGCUCCCAUCCCACCACCACCAUCUCCAAAUUCCGGCGAAAAGAUAACUCUGCAAAAGCCUCUGCACUAACAGAGGACUGUUCUACUAAAUCCUCUCCCAAAUUCCCAUGAAACAGAUGGCGAAGGCGAAGGCGAGUUCGAAGCCUUCACCUCCCUUUUAUUCUUCGCAUUCUCCAUGGUUUCUUCUUUGAACGCUCGAAUGUCUGCAAUGCAAGCGGUUUCUACAAGGAUUUGCAGCAAUCCCAUCAUCAUUUUCAGGUUGGCACCGCCGCGAUGCCUGAUUCAAGAAGUUGAGGUUCGAAAACGGUGCACUCGCUGAAUCAAUUUCAUCGAUUUUGUCUCCAAUCUUGUAAAUUUGUUUAUUUGUGAUUGAAUGAUUGGGUUGGGAAUCAUUAUCCUCUGCAAAUUUGUAAAUUUAUUUUAUCUAUUACAUUCGCACUCUUGUAAACCACGGAGAGGGCACUGGGAGUUGUUUCAACAGCCAGGUAACCGCCAUUGUUGUUGUUGGUGUUCCUGAUCCAAGGAGAGAGAGUGACGCUCGCUCGGGGAGCAUUCAUGUUUUGGACGCUUGGGAAAUUUUUUAUCUUUCUAAUUUAUUUACAAGGUGAAGGAGAUAACAACAAUUUAACACUGUUAAAUGGGUGCACAGAUUUCACAAAACUAUUAAAGCCAUGGAGAGGCUAGGGUGCAGAAAAUUUGAACUCAAAUGGUACAAAUACGUGGUAAGAGUAGCAUUUUUGCUUAUUAAACGAUUUCUUGUGUAUCCUACUUUUCCUUGCAAACGAGUGCUGUCUCGUGUCUGGCAUUCGCAAUGUCGCAUUUUGCCCCUAAGGAAAUCAAAAGCUCGCACAGCGUUGUGUGGCCUUCUCUUCCUGCUAACAUCAACGGAGUGUAUCCAUUGGCAUCAGAAGCACAUCAGAGCCCCUGCUUCUCAAUGUAUGAACAAAAUCUGUGGCGCUGUGUUGUACUGCCUGAUGGAGAGUCCCAUAAAACUCAACAGGACUAUCAAGUACCUUUUGAGGUGCAGCAUUCUAAAGUAACAACUUUUCAAAUUCUGCACUGUUUUGAUUUGUAUCGAACAGUUCCAUUACCGUCUGACCACGUUUAUUCUGCAGGUUUAUGUCAGCCCCAGCGUUGAUAAGCAAUUUGAAACUUUCCAGGUAACCGCCCUCUGCAGAUAUCAUGGCAGCUGAGUAUCCCUUUUCAUCUUGCUCAUUGAGAUCAACGUCUGCCCCCUCAAUCAGUUUCUUCGAAGCCUCAACAUCAUUUGCUUGAGUCACAAGCACUAGAGGAGAAAAUAUUGAUGUAUGGCUGGAGUCACUAUUUUCUCUUUUAAGACAAGCGUGCAUAUGUUAUAUUGUCAUGAUCAAAUAGCUCAACAGAGUCAAGUUAUAUGAAUUUAUGGUAUCUACUCCCUCCUGGGUUCAAAGAUCUUUCGUUAUCCACUGGCCGACAACAUACAAGUUCAGAAAACUCCAGAAAGGGGUAAUGGAUGGUGGAAUCGUGAUGAUCUGUGCACUCUUGGCAAGGAGAGGACUUAAUAGAUCCUUGCGGCUUGAACCCAGGAGCAUGAGAUCAUUGCGGCUAUGCUAAAGUGUUGUUCCUUUUUAUUACAAGCGAGAGUUUGGAUCCGAGACACUGUUUGAAAAUUAAUUGGAAAGAGAGAGGGAUUGCUCUGUGGGUAAGCUUUGAGUGUUGAAUGCCAUUACCUUAUAUUUUUGUAAAUAUACAAAUAUUCUCCCCUUCUCCAUGCCACAAUACUACUCCCUUAAAUAAAAGUAAAAGAUACGGUAGAUUGAUGAGAUUAGUGACACACAUUCUUUUUUCUUCUCUCUCUCUCAUUGGUCCUCAAUUGAGGAUUUUUGGUAUUGUUAUAUAUAAAAGUACUGAAUAAGCUCAUUUCUUUUCUUUACGAGCACGAAGUCGUUUCCUAGCUGCCUGUAUUAUACUCUCACGAUCAUCAGGAACUGCUGCAACAUCCACUUUCUUUGGCAAAUCAGAAAGAUUUCCCUCCAGCUGCUCUUCAAUAUGACCGAUCCUGCCACUGCAUAAAAGGUUAAAGGUUCAAUCUCUGCAAUGUUCAUAUACUACCUUGAAUUAGAAACAAAUCAUUUUCUACUUAUAAUGGUAGUUCUAUGCAAACUGGCUUCACCUCAGCUUCUUGAUAUCUAGAUUAUUUACUUUGUCCAAAAUGGGUGUGACCCAAGCAAUAUUUACAGCACAUACAAUGCGCAGGAAUGGGCGGGUUGUUGAAUGAGUUCAGGUACACAACAUAGUCACUUCAUCAUCUGGUUUAUGCAAAGAGGAUGGAUGCACCGGAAAUAAAAGUAUUUGUGAGUGUCAAUUCUAGACUUGCAAAAGACUCACUACUCAAACCUUUGCCUAAUUCUAGUGAGAUAUGCCUAGCCACGAUCAAUUUCCAGCUCAAAGUUUCUCGUUUUCCUUUCCCAGUUUAAGUAACUUAAGUGGUCGAUCGGUGCUUUGAUAAACCAGAAAUGCAUAAUGAUAAUCUCAAUCCAAUUUUGUUCCAUAAAUCACGUACUUUGAGCAUGUUACUUAUUCAGCACUUAUCAGUAUCAGUAGGCUGCAGUAGACCAUUAUAUAUAAGAGCUUCAUGUUAUCAAGUAACAUUCAGGAGAAUAGUCAUUUAGUCAGUUCAUAGCGGUGUUUCGUGAACAUGAUAUAAUUGCAAGCUCUUUAAUAAUGUAGCUUACUCGCCUUUUGCUAUUUUCUGCAUGAUUUUAGAUAGCUGUUUUCUCACAUAACAAGCAAAUACUAGAAUCAUGUCGCCAAUGCCCUGAAUAUAUCAGGUUUUUCUUAUACAGAAUAUAAAAAAGGUGCCUACAACUGAUAAUCCUUGCACCAAUCAAUGUCAUAGUCAGUUUGAUGCCAGCACUCAUAUAUCUGUAGCAACUGGAUAUGAUCACCCCAGCCAGAACCAUCAGGAAGGUCCAAAUAUUCAUGCUUCCUCCUCUUCUCCCUACUUUUUCUACAGAAGGAGGCAUGCUCAACGAUAAUCAUCUCAAACUAAAUAUUCAUACUUCAAGGGCCUCGUGGAAAGUGCAGAGGUCCACAAAUAUCUUUCUAAUGUUUAGAGGUACGCAACUUAAACCAUAUAUAUGUGUGGUAAUGUAUGUGUGCAGAUGCGUGCGCAUUUAGUUCGACCUAUGAUAUUUGAGUACUUUUCAGAUUCUCAGAACACAACGCAUGCUAUUAACUUUCACAACAUACAUAUAGGAACCUUCUUCUGGGAAAAAUUUAACGAGCUUACCUUCGACCAGGAAGCAAUGUGGUUUCUGUUAGGAUAUAGCUAUGCCAUGUGUCAUAAUUGUAUUGGAGGUUGUGAAUGUUAGUCAUAAGGUGUGUUGUAUUUAUAAGAGAUUAGUUUUGUCAUAAACAUAAGGAAAUAUAACAAGAUUAUUUUUCCCUCUCUACUUUCUCUCUCUAUCUCUCUGUUCGAUAUCUUCUUCUCUAAGUUUCUUCCAUAUAAUUGGUUUGUUAACAUGGUAUCAUCGCCGGCAAUGGCUAACGCCGUCGCCUGACGAUCCCGGUGCUUCCGCGUCUCUUCGUUUUUGCUCCGGUGGUUUUCACUUGUUCGCCGGAAGUUGAUUGGUCGUUUUUUGGGCCUGUUCGUGGACUCUGGUGAAUCUUGGUUACUGAAACCCUAGAAUUUUGGUGUUUUCUUAACUGGGUUAGUAGAAGUCGGUUGUUCUUCUUGCAGUCGUUGUUGUUGUUGAUCGUUGUCUUGGCUGGAGGUAUUGGUCGAAUUUCUUACCUUCUUGUUCAGAUUCGUGUGGUGAUUUUGUUGAACUUCUUGUUGCUAUUCUGUUGAAUUGUGUGGUAUUCUCUUCAAAAUUGAAUUGGGUUGGAGAUUUCUGUUAAUUGUUGGUUCUUGAUUACUUCUGAUUGACGCACGAAUCGUUGUGUGGUGAUUAAGCAGUUUUUGAUUACGUGAUUAACCAGUUCUUGAUUACUUUUAUUUUCUAUAAAGAUUGUUGUUUCUUGAUUAAGCAUGGUGACCACAGCCCAAUUAGCUCUUACACAGUCUCCUAUUUCUUCCCUAAUACCAAGUGUUGGUAAUACUGUCACAGUCAAGUUAAAUGAUUCUAACUAUAUCACAUGAAAUUUUCAACUUGAAUUACUGUUAAAAGGUAAUGGUAUUAUGGGAUUUCUUGAUGGCUAUAUCUCCUGUCCUGAGAAAUAUACUGCUACUGAAGAUGGCAUUGUGAUUAAUUGCUCUAUCAUAAAUGAUGCCUAUAAAGUUUGGAAGAUUCAUGAUAAAGCUUUGAUGACUCUUAUCACUACUACCUUGUCUCCUGCUGCCCUAUCGAGUGUCAUUAGGUGUCAAAGCUCCAAGGAAAUGUGGAUUAACUUGAAAGAGAGGUUCUCGAGUAUGACUAGAACAAGUAUUGUCCAGAUGAAAAUUGAUCUGCAGACUAUUAAGAAAAGGGCUGAAUCUAUUAAUCUUAAUCUUCAACGCAUCACAGACUGUAGAGACCAGUUAGCUGCAGUGGGUGUUGUUAUGCCUGAUGAAGAUAUUGUCAUAGUUGCUCUCAAAGGCUUACCAACUGAAUACAACACUAUUAAGGCUGUUAUUCGAGGAAGAGAAAAUCUUGUGUCACUGAAAGAGCUGAGGUCUCAGUUGAAGGCAGAAGAAGCAACCCUUGAAGAAAGUCUUAAACAACCUCUAAUGGCCGCAAUGUAUGCUAAUAGUUCCGGUUCCAUACAUGAGUUUGGAGGGUCAUCUGGUACCAAUCUAGUUCGGGCAACUAUGAUACUGGCUCAUCAUUAUAUCAUGUACCUCAAAUGACCUCAUUUCCUUAAAUGCCACAACUAGCUCAAAUGCCUACCAUGAGUUAUAUGUCUAACAUGGCUCCGGUGAAUCAACUACCUUAACUUCCACAGUUUCAGCCAUUCUCUCUUCAAGCUCCACAUGGUCCUUAUGCAUUUGUGUCUCAAGCAGGAUCUGGCACUUAUAAUAAUUUCAGGGGGCAAAAUUUCAAGUACAAAGGAAAAGGGAAGAAAUUUCACUCAGGUUAUCAGGGGUAUGUUCAAACUAAUGUUCAGUCUCAACCACAAUCUAGUUUUCAAACUACACAACCUUAUAAUCCUAUGUUGAUCUGUCAAAUUUGUGAUAAAAAGGGACACUCUGCACUCCAUUGUUUUCAGCGUGGAUGCCAAACCUGCAAUAGGGUUGGUCACACUGCAGCUAUAUGUUUCGACAUGGGUACUUCUUUUAUGCCCAUGUCUCAGCCUAUGUAUUAGUCUCAACAGUUUCAAGCUUCUGCUUCUGUUCAACAAUAUCAAUCUCCACAGUUUCAGGCUCCUGCUCCAGUUCAACAAAUGCAUCCAUCGUAUGUGCAGCAUCAGAACAUGUCACAACAAGCUACAUCUCCUGUUGCUUUCACUGCAAGAACCAACUUCUCACCUUUUGCACCUCCGCAAGAGUAUUGGCUGCUUGAUUCUGGUGCUACCAAUCACAUGACCUCUGAUCUGUCCUGUCUACAAGCUCUUACCCCAUAUCCAUCCACUGAAACUGUAACUGGGGCUAAUGGUGAAGGUUUACACAUUUCGCAUAUUGGACAGUAUUCUCUUAUUACUCAUUCUUAUAAACUUCAGUUAAAAACAAUGCUUCAUGUUCCACAAUUAUCUCAACAUUUACUUUCCAUGGAUCAAUUAUGUAAGGACAAUAAUUGUCGAUGCAUUGUUGAUGAGUUUUUUGUGUGCAUACAGGACAAGGUCACCAACAAGGUUCUCUUUCAAGGACUGAGUAACAAUGCUGUUUACCUAUUUCCUUUGCUCAAACAACCACAGAUCAAACCUGCUGCUUAUCUUGGCCAGAAAGUUAAUACUACACUGUGGCAUUGUAGAUUGGGUCAUCCAACCAAUUAUGUAGUUAGUAAGGCCGAUAUUUCUUUUCAUUGUCAUUCUGUUCCUCAAACAUGUACCUCUUGCUUACAAGGCAAGUUUACCAAAUUACCAUUCCCAUUAGCAUCAUCUAAGUCCAAUGUACCAUUUGAAGUCAUUCACACAGAUGUGUGAGGACCUGCACCUAUCAUGUCUAUAGAGGGUUAUAUGUACUAUGUGUCUUUUAUCGAUGAAUGUACAAGAUAUACAUGGAUUUUUCCAAUGAUGAAUAAAGCUGCAGUUUGUGAAAUCUUUAUUCAGUUUCAUGCCUUCUUUCAAAAUUCAUUUUCUGUCAAUAUCAAAGUCUUACAAAGUGAUGGUGGUGGAGAGUUUGUUGGAUCUGUGUUUCAAAAGUUUCUUAGAACCAAAGGUAUAUUGCAUCAAAAGUCUUGUCCCUAUACCCCUGAACAAAAUGGGUUGGUUGAGAGAAAAAAUCGUCACAUAGUUGAAAUUGCUCUUACUUUACUACAAAAAGCCUUUCUUCCUUCACAGUUUUGGUUUCAUGCUUGUGCCACAGCCACGUUUAUUAUCAAUAGAAUGCCUACACCUGUUUUACAUAUGCAAUCCCUAUUUGAAAUGUUAUAUCACUCUCCACCUAGGCUUGAUCAUUUAAGGGUAUUUGGGUGUGCAUGUUACCUUACUUUAAAACCCUAUAGACAUAACAAGUUGGAACCAAAAACUACACAGUGCAUAAUUCUGGGUUAUGCAGCUCAGUACAAAGGAUAUAUUUGCUAUGCUAUCCGAGACCAUAAACUCAUUGUCUCUAGGCAUGUUGUGUUUGAUGAAGAUACAUUUCCUAGCUUACCAGAUUCUGUCUAUAGUUCACUAUCAUUGGCACCGCCUAUUAUACCUCAUCCAAAUAACUUUGAGCAUCCAUCCUUUAUUCACAUUCCUUUUCGCCAUAUUCCAUUUCCUUAUUCUUCUUCCCAUACCACUGAUCCUUAUUCUGUUACUCAGUCCUCUUCUUCCAUACCUGGUGAUCUUGUCUCUUCUCAAUGCUUACCUACUGAGGCCACAGUUGCAUAGUAUGUGGAGCAUGUUGAUAUUCAUCCUGAUGUUACUACUUCUCAAGUUCAAGCCCUGCAUCAUGUUCCAGUGUCUCAACUCAAUACACAUCCAAUGCAAACAAGGUUGAAAUCUGGCAUAUUAAAAAAGAAGGCUAUUCUUGCUCAGGUACAAUCUUCAUCUAUCAUUGAGUCACAGUCUUUCAAGGUUGCUGUUAAGUCCUUUGAGUGGAGGCAAGCUAUGGAAGAUGAAAUGGCAGCUCUUGUGAAGCAGAAAACCUGGAGAUUAGUUCAUCUUCCACCUAACAAGAACUUGGUUGGUUGUAAAUGGAUCUAUAAGAUCAAAAGUAAUCCUGAUGGUUCAGUUGCUCGAUACAAGGCCAGGUUGGUAACCAAGGGUUUUUCCCAAGAAGUCGGUCUUAACUAUCAUGAAACUUUCAGUCCCGUCGUCAAGCCAACCACAGUGAGACUUCUGUUGUCCCUAGCUGCUACAAAGCGUUGGAAAUUAAAACAGUUAGAUGUCAAGAACGCAUUUCUUCUUGGUUUUCUUGAUGAAGAGGUGUAUAUGUCUCAGCCACAAGGCUUAAUUGAUCCCGAUCAUCCUGAGUUUGUGUGUAAGUUAGACCGGUCUCUCUAUGGAUUUAAACAAACUCCUCGAGCUUGGAAUGACAGAUUUUCCAGGUUUCUUCUUACCUUGGGCUUUAAAUCCUUAUAUGUUGAUCCAUCUUUAUAUGUGAAACAUAAUGGUCAGUCUAUUGUUGUACUGUUAUUAUAUGUUGAUGAUAUAAUCCUCAGUGGUGAUUGUGAUACUCAAGUUCAAGCUGUCAUACAUCAGUUAACAGCUGAAUUUGAUAUGAAUGACCUAGGGAUUUUACACUAUUUCCUUGGUCUUCAAAUUCAUUAUUGCCAUACCGGUUUCCUUGUGCAUUAAACCAAGUAUAUUACUAAUCUUCUUACUAAGACAAACAUGCUGGAUAGCAAACCGUGUUCAACUCCUCGUCAUCCAAAUCAGAAGCUGCUGAAUCAUGGUAGUCCUCCUUUCCAUGAUCCGGGUAUCUAUCGCAGCAUUGUUGGUGCUCUCCAAUAUUUGACAUUUACAAGACCGGAUAUUGCGUACUCGGUCAAUCAAGUUUGUCAAUUCAUGCACCCACCUCUGGAUAGUCGUUUCAUUGUUGUUAAACGGAUCUUGCGGUACCUACGAGGGUCCAUGAAUCUUGGCUUGUGUUUUCAACCUAGAAAUCUGGAUAUUAAAGCAUAUACGAAUGCCGAUUGGGCUGAGGAUCCUAAUGACAGGAGAUCCACCACGGGUUUUGUGGUAUUCCUGGGCACUAAUCUUGUCUCUUAGAGUUCUAAGAAGCAGCACACGGUUAGUCGAUCAUCUACCGAGGCUGACUAUCGUGCUAUGGCGACAACAACUGCUGAGGUGGUUUGGUUACAACAAAUACUCAAGGACUUGCAUCUUCCCUGUUCAGAAGUUCCUCUUCUACACUGUGACAACAUUUCUGCUAUGGCACUGGCAACAAAUCCGGUUUUACAUUCUAAAGCUAAACAUAUUGAAAUCGAUUGUCAUUUUGUUCGAGAACGUGUUCAACAAGGUUCCAUUAUCUUGCAAUUUGUUGCAUCCUCAGAGCAGCAUGCUGACAUCUUUACCAAGGGCUUAUGUUAUCCUAUGUUUAGCUCACAUUGUAACAAUCUUAUGCUUGGUUCUUCCCUGCAUAAGCUUGAGGGGGAAUGUUAGGAUAUAGCUAUGCCAUGUGUCAUAAUUGUAUUGGAGGUUGUGAAUGUUAGUCAUAAGGUGUGUUGUAUUUAUAAGAGAUUAGUUUUGUCAUAAACAUAAGGAAAUAUAACAAGAUAUAUUUUUCCCUCUCUACUUUCUCUCUCUAUCUCUCUGUUCGAUAUCUUCUUCUCUAAGUUUCUUCCAUAUAAUUGGUUUGUUAACAGUUUCUACAGAUAACAUAGCAGCAACAGUCAAAGCCUGGGAUAAUCAGCCAUACUCAUUUGCCUCCACUUAGGUCUUUGACAAUGAAGGUUCUAGCGGAAGCUCCACAAAAAAUCAAGGAAAUACUUGGCAGACUCAUCAAAGAUUUAAAAGGAAAAUGAUCAAUGUGCUCAAAACCAAUGGGGAAUCGCUUCUAACAGAUGGUACAGGAACAAAAAGCCCAAGUAGGAAUGAGUUGCAAAACUUUUGUGAAUACAUAUCUGACACUUCUAUUACAGUGCAGCCAAGGUUAUGAUGGAUGUAUAAUAUUUUAAGACUUAAGUUGGUACGCAAUAUUAAGACUCAAGCAAUUUGCAAAAGAAUAAGUGUCUAGGAAUUGCGUUAUAAAAAAUAAACUGUAGAAGGGUAUAUUUAUAUGAGUCAAGGAGAAGACCUUUUAUAAUAGAAUCCUCAUUAGACCUGGAAAUCCCAAAGGAUAUCUAGGAAGUAGAUAUUGCAGAAUGUGAUUACUUGCAAGGCACGUCAAUUCUUAUCAUUGUCAAUAAUGUUAAAUGUAUCUCCAACAAAUUAGCGAGUUAAGUCAUUUUCUACUCAAUAAUUCCCCACAAACUAUUGAUCCAUGAGUCAAAUUAAGUUUUAUGAACAGUGGCUAGUAAUUUAGAAAGAAAAAAAAAUGACUUUAGUCAAAUCUUUAUUAUCUCUACCAUCUCUUGUGAGGGAAAGUGAUCAUCUCCGGAUUCUUUCU
rnacentral:lncRNA from 1 species